rnacentral:rRNA from 1 species
UGAGGCACGAAAGCGUGGGGAGCGAACAGGAUUAGAUACCCUGGUAGUCCACGCCGUAAACGAUGAUUACUAGCUGUUGGCGAUAGACAGUCAGUGGCUAAGCGAAAGUGAUAAGUAAUCCACCUGGGGAGUACGAUCGCAAGGUUGAAACUCAAAGGAAUUGACGGGGGCCCGCACAAGCGGAGGAACAUGUGGUUUAAUUCGAUGAUACGCGAGGAACCUUACCUGGGCUUAAAUGUAUGUUGGUCGCUUCUGAAAAGGAGUUUCCCUUCGGGGCAUUAUACAAGGUGCUGCAUGGUUGUCGUCAGCUCGUGCCGUGAGGUGUCGGGUUAAGUCCCAUAACGAGCGCAACCCUUAUCGUUAGUUGUCAGCGGGUAAUGCCGGAUACUCUAGCGAGACUGCUCUGGUAACGGAGAGGAAGGUGGGGAUGACGUCAAAUCAGCACGGCCCUUAUGUCCAGGGCGACACACGUGUUACAAUGGUCGGUACAAAGAGCAGCUACCUGGUGACAGGACGCUAAUCUCAAAAAGCCGAUCUCAGUUCGGAUUGGAGUCUGCAACUCGACUCCAUGAAGUUGGAAUCGCUAGUAAUCGCGGAUCAGCCAUGCCGCGGUGAAUACGUUCCCGGGCCUUGUACACACCGCCCGUCACACCAUGGGAGCCGACAAGGGCAGAAGUCGCCGAGCUAACCUUCGGGAAGCAGGCGCCCAAGCUGUUGUUGACGACUGGGGUGAAGUCGUAACAAGGUAGCCGUAGGAGAACCUGCGGCUG